rnacentral:sRNA from 1 species
GCCGGGGUGCGGUGGUGCAUACCUGUAAUCCCAGCGGCUUGGAGGCUGAGGCAGGAGAUCUUGAGUUCAGGAGCCAGCCUCAGCAAAAGUGAGGCCCUAAGCAACUCUGUGAGACCCUGUCUCUA